rnacentral:rRNA from 1 species
GAUGAACGCUGGCGGCGUGCUUAACACAUGCAAGUCGAACGAAGCACUUUACUACGAUUUCUUCGGAAUGACGGUUUUGUGACUGAGUGGCGGACGGGUGAGUAACGCGUGGAUAACCUGCCUCAUACAGGGGGAUAACAGCCGGAAACGGCUGCUAAUACCGCAUAAGCGCACGGUACCGCAUGGUACAGUGUGAAAAACUCCGGUGGUAUGGGAUGGAUCCGCGUCUGAUUAGCCAGUUGGCGGGGUAACGGCCCACCAAAGCGACGAUCAGUAGCCGACCUGAGAGGGUGACCGGCCACAUUGGGACUGAGACACGGCCCAAACUCCUACGGGAGGCAGCAGUGGGGAAUAUUGCACAAUGGGGGGAACCCUGACGCAGCAACGCCGCGUGAAGGAAGAAGGCUUUCGGGUCGUAAACUUUUGUCUGGAGGGACGAUAGUGACGGUACCUCCGGAGGAAGCCACGGCUAACUACGUG